rnacentral:rRNA from 1 species
ACGUACGCUGGCGGCGUGCUUCACACAUGCCAGUCGAACGGAAAGGCCCUGCUUUUGUGGGGUGCUCGAGUGGCGAACGGGUGAGUAACACGUGAGUAACCUGCCCUUGACUUUGGGAUAACUUCAGGAAACUGGGGCUAAUACCGGAUAGGAGCUCCUGCUGCAUGGUGGGGGUUGGAAAGUUUCGGCGGUUGGGGAUGGACUCGCGGCUUAUCAGCUUGUUGGUGGGGUAGUGGCUUACCAAGGCUUUGACGGGUAGCCGGCCUGAGAGGGUGACCGGCCACAUUGGGACUGAGAUACGGCCCAGACUCCUACGGGAGGCAGCAGUGGGGAAUAUUGCACAAUGGGCGGAAGCCUGAUGCAGCAACGCCGCGUGCGGGAUGACGGCCUUCGGGUUGUAAACCGCUUUCGCCUGUGACGAAGCGUGAGUGACGGUAAUGGGUAAAGAAGCACCGGCUAACUACGUG